rnacentral:rRNA from 1 species
AGUGAACGCUGGCGGCGUGCUUAACACAUGCAAGUCGAACGAGAACGGGAUAUAGCUUGCUAUAUUUGUCAGCUAAGUGGCGCACGGGUGAGUAAUGUAUAGGUAAUAUGCCUCUUACUAAGGGAUAACAAUUGGAAACGAUUGCUAAUACCUUAUAUGCCUUUAAGACUAAAGUCUGCAAGGGAAAGAUUUAUUGGUAAGAGAUUAGCCUGUAUUGUAUCAGCUAGUUGGUGAGGUAAUGGCUCACCAAGGCUAUGACGCAUAGCUGGUUUGAGAGGAUGAUCAGUCACACUGGAACUGAGACACGGUCCAGACUCCUACGGGAGGCAGCAGUGGGGAAUAUUGCACAAUGGACGAAAGUCUGAUGCAGCAACGCCGCGUGGAGGAUGACACAUUUCGGUGCGUAAACUGCUUUUAUAUGUGACGAUUAUGACGGUAGCAUAUGAAUAAGGAUCGGCUAACUCCGUGCCAGCCGCCGCGGUAA